AAGACUCAAAAGAGAUGAGUAAACUGCUGCCCUUAUUUAUAGGCUUAAAGGAAGGCCGGAAGCUACGCUCCGCGGUGUAGGCUUCAUUACUGUUGCAGCGGCUUAUGAUUGGAAUAGGAUCUUUGAGCGAGCAACGUCCGAUUCUCAAGAAACGACGGACUGCUGCGAAGGCACCUACAAGAAGAAAGAGGCCUUAGAUCGCCCCUGCAGAACCGCGCUCAAUCAAAGAAGAAAUCAAGAAAGAAAUAGUAUCCGUUUCACAUCACAAGUAGCGUGUGGAAGAACUAUUAUGGAGGAAGUGAAAAAGGUUAUCGAUAUAAACUCAACAACCACUAUCUUGGAAAAAUAGAGUUUGUUAUCCUGCUAGACC